UACGUAGGGGGCUAGCGUUGUCCGGAAUCAUUGGGCGUAAAGCGCGCGUAGGCGGCCAGAUAAGUCCGGGUGUGAAAGUCAAAGGCUCAACCUUUGAAUGCCGCUGGAAACUGUCUGGCUUGAGUCCGGGAGGGGCGAGUGGAAUUCCUGGUGUAGCGGUGAAAUGCGCAGAUAUCAGGAGGAACACCAAUAGCGAAGGCAGCUCGCUGGGACGACUGACACUGAGGCGCGAAA
rnacentral:rRNA from 1 species